rnacentral:rRNA from 1 species
GAACUGAAACAUCUUAGUACUUAGAGGAAAAAAAAGUAAAAACGAUUUCCGUAGUAGUGGUGAGCGAACUGGAAGUAGCUUAAACUUAAUUAAAAUUAAGGGUAGCGGGACAAUCAUUAAAGAUGUAUAUGAAUUAAAUGAAUAAACUGGAAUGUUUAACCAAAGUAAGCAAGAGUCUUGUAGUUAAAAAUUUAAAUUACCUUAGUUGGAUCCCAAGUAGCAUAGAGCACGUGAAAUUCUGUGUGAAUCCGCAAGGACCAUCUUGUAAGACUAAAUAUUUAUGAAUGACCGAUAGUGAAAAAGUACCGUGAGGGAAAGGUGAAAAAGAAUCCCGGAUAGGGAAGUGAAAAGAACAUGAAACCAUAAACCUACAAUCAGUAGAAGGAUGACUAAAACAUCUAACUAUGUGCCUGUUGAAGAAUGAGCCGACGACUUAUAAUUAAUGGCAGGUUAAAAUAAAUACUAUUGGAGCCAUAGCGAAAGCAAGUCUGAAUAGGGCAUAUGUCAAUAAUUAUAUACCCGAACCCGGAUGAUCUAACCAUGAUCAGGUUGAAGUUUAGGUAAUACUAAUUGGAGGACCGAACCGACUAAUGUUGAAAAAUUAGCGGAUGAAUUGUGGUUAGGGGUGAAAUGCCAAUCGAAUUCGGAGCUAGCUGGUUCUCCCCGAAAUGCGUUUUGGCGCAGCGAUAAAUAUUUUAAUUUAGGGGUAAAGCACUGUUUCGUAUGGAGGCUGGUAAUUCGGUACUAAGUCGUUGCAAACUAAGAAUACUAAAUGAAAAAUUUAUCAGUGAGACUAUGGGGGAUAAGCUUCAUUGUCAAAAGGGAAACAGCCCAGAACACCAGCUAAGGCCCUUAAAUAAUUACUAAGUGAUAAAGGAAGUAAAAAUACAGAAACAAUCAGAAGGUUUGCUUAGAAGCAGCAAUCCUUUAAAGAGUGCGUAACAGCUCACUGAUCGAGUAGAUUUGCGCCGAAAAUGUACGGGACUAAGUAAUUUGCCGAAGCUGUGUGAUAUAAUAAAAUUAUAUCGGUAGGGGAGCGUUCUGUAAUAGGUUGAAGUACUAAUGAAAAUGGGUAUGGACAUAACAGAAGUGAGAAUGUCGGCUUGAGUAACGAAAAUAUAGGUGAGAAUCCUAUACCCCGAAAACUCAAGGUUUCCUUACGGAAGGCUCGUCCACGAAGGGUAAGUCAGAACCUAAGAUGAGGCUGAGAAGCGUAAUCGAUGGAAAACAGGUCAAUAUUCCUGUACCAUUAUUUUAAAUAACGAGGGACGGAGAAGGCUAAGCUAGUUAAUUAAUGGUUUUUAACUUAAAUGUAUAAGGUAUUGAUGGAUAGUGAAAAUAUUCAGAGUUAAAUCAUGAUUUUUAUAAUACUUAUGAGAUUAUAAUAGUGUAUGUCAUACUUCCAAGAAAAGCUUGUAUUAUUAUAUAAAAUAAUGUCUGUACCAUAACCAACACAGGUGAGUAGGUAGAGUAUACUAAGGGGCGCGAGAGAACUCUCUCUAAGGAACUCGGCAAAAUAACUUCGUAACUUAGGAAGAAGAAGUACCUUUUUAAAAGGUUGCAAUAACAAGAUCCAAGCAACUGUUUAUCAAAAACACAGGUUUCCGCUAAGUCGUAAGACGAUGUAUGGGGACUGACGCCUGCCCAGUGCCAGAAGGUUAAUGAAAUUAAUUAGUAAAUAUAAAUACAAAGUUAAUAACUAAAGCCCUGGUGAACGGCGGCCGUAACUAUAACGGUCCUAAGGUAGCGAAAUUCCUUGUCGGGUAAGUUCCGACCCGCACGAAAGGCGUAAUGAUUUGGGUACUGUCUCAGAGAGAGACUCGGUGAAAUAGAAUUGUCUGUGAAGAUGCGGACUACUUGCACCUGGACAGAAAGACCCUAUGAAGCUUUACUGUAGUUUAAUAUUGAAAUUGAAUUUUUUCUGCGCAGUAUAAGUGGGAGGCAUUGAUUUUAUUUUUUCGGAAAUUUAGGAGCCAAAAGUGAGAUACCACUCUGAUUAAAUUGAAUUUCUAACUUUUAUAAUAAGCUUAUUAAAGGACAGUUUUAAAUGGUCAGUUUGACUGGGGCGGUCGCCUCCCAAAUAGUAACGGAGGCGUACAAAGGUUUUCUCUGAACGUGUAGAAAUCGUAUCUAGAGUAUAAAGGCAUAAGAAAGCUUGACUGUAAGACUCACAUGUCGAGCAGGGACGAAAGUCGGUCUUAGUGAUCUGACAGUACUGAGUGGAAAGGCUGUCACUCAACGAAUAAAAGUUACUCUAGGGAUAACAGGCUGAUCUCCCCCAAGAGCCCACAUCGACGGGGAGGUUUGGCACCUCGAUGUCGGCUCAUCGCAUCCUGGGGCGGUAGUACGUCCCAAGGGUUGGUCUGUUCGCCCAUAAAAGCGGUACGCGAGCUGGGUUCAGAACGUCGUGAGACAGUUCGGUCCAUAUCCGGUGUAAGCGUUAGAGUACUGAAAGGGUUUUUUUCCAGUACGAGAGGACCGAAAAGAGCAUGCCGCUGGUGUACCAGUUAUUAUACCCAUAGUAAACGCUGGGUAGCUAAGU